GGGCCGGCGAUGCGUCCUGGU
rnacentral:siRNA from 1 species